rnacentral:rRNA from 1 species
UCGAGCGAAGCUUUUCAGUAGUUUACUACAGAAAAUGACUGAGCGGCGAACGGGUGAGUAACGCGUGAGCAAUCUACCUUAGUUACAGGGAUAGCCCGAGGAAACUCGGAUUAAUACCUGAUAUUCUUUUUAUCUCGCAUGAGAUUUUAAGGAAAGGUCAGCCGAACUAAGAUGAGCUCGCGUUCUAUCAGCUAGUUGGUGAGGUAAUAGCUCACCAAGGCUACGACGGAUAGCUGGUCUGAGAGGACGAUCAGCCACACUGGGACUGAGACACGGCCCAGACUCCUACGGGAGGCUGCAGCAGGGAAUAUUGCGCAAUGAGCGAAAGCUUGACGCAGCGACACCGCGUGUGGGAUGACGGAUCUAGGUUUGUAAACCACUUUCAGGAGGGAAGAAAAUGACGGUACCUCCACAAGAAGCCCCGGCCAACUACGUGCCAGCAGCCGCGGUAAUACGUAGGGGGCGAGCGUUGUCCGGAUUUAUUGGGCGUAAAGAGCUCGUAGGCGGUUCAACAAGUCGGUCGUGAAAGUUCAGGGCUCAACCCUGAAAUGUCGAUCGAUACUGUUGUGACUAGGAUACGGUAGAGGUGGGUGGAAUUCCGAGUGUAGCGGUGAAAUGCGUAGAUAUUCGGAGGAACACCAAUUGCGAAGGCAGCUCACUGGGCCGCUAUCGACGCUGAGGAGCGAAAGCUAGGGGAGCAAACAGGAUUAGAUACCCUGGUAGAAGGGC